rnacentral:rRNA from 1 species
CCCCAGCGCCACAAGUGGGGGUCAUGUAUUUGGCCUAAAGCGUCUGUAGCCGGUUUGACAAAUUUUCUGUGAAAUUGGACGGCUCAACCGUCCAGCGUGCAGAAAACACUAUCAAACUUGGAACCGGGAGAGGUAUAGAGUAUUCUGGGGGAAGCGGUAAAAUGUUAUAAUCCCCAGAGGACUACCAAUGGCGAAGGCACUAUACCAGAACGGAUUCGACGGUGAGAGACGAAAGCCGGGGGAGCGAUCC